AACAGGAGAAUCAGUACAGAAGACAUAGAGUCAGAGCUGAUCUUGCGUACAGCGUAAAUGUUUACGAUAUAUGAGUAGUUAGUUACAGGUAACUCAGGAGUUAACCGACGUUGAAAAUGAGACGAUAUUCGAUAAAGAUCGGAGAUUACACCAGAAUUACGUUUUAUGAGGUCAACAGUAUCUAGGCUGGAUCUUGAAAUAUCUCAGAGACAACGUUUCCACAUGUGUAAACUUAUACGCAGGACGGCCACAAGUGUUUGACAAACGGACUCUUGGUCACUUAGUGUAUACAUAUUCACUACGUGUCCAAAAAUCAUGUGAAGGGAAAGGGACAUGAGUCUGUCAUUACCUGCUGAAGCCCAUUUAUCUCCAUAUUGUUCUGGUAGAAUAGGGUUCCUAAGAGCCCACAUUCAAAUAGGCAGCGAUCUGGCCGACAGUACACCAUCAAUCACCCGACGUGGUGCCCGAUCGUCAAACACUUGUGGUUGGCCUGUGUUGCGUGGGGAAAGUUAUGUGACAACUCUACACUUUUCCAUGCAGUACGUACUAUGGGUAUCCAUGUUGAUCAUCCAUUUUCUCUAUUGUCACCUAUCUACUUUCCAUUAGGUUAUCAACCCAAUCUUUUAUUAUCUCUUGGAACCCAGCAGUUUCUAUAUACAGAAAAUCACUAGAACCUCAAUGCCAAUCUCUCAUUAUUUAAAUUAAUUAUUCCUUUUGAAGGUUUGUAAGUAGAAUUUACAUCAUAGUUCUUCCAACUAAGAAUCCUUGUCAGUGUAAUUUGUAUCUAGAGUAUUGCCAGAUGUUGCAUGGGGAACGAGAAAUGACUGAAACAACUCCAUAGUAUGUUUUGUGAUGCAGUUGUAUUUAUUGAAGGAAGGAAGAGAGUACAGUAGUCACUGACGUAAGAGCUGCAUCCUCAUAGAAGUCGUGUCCGUGUUCAGCGGUAGUAGUAGGGGUAGCCGGCGGCGGCGUAGGGGUAGGCGGAGUAGGCGCUGACGGCGGGGUAGCCGAAGGCGCUGUAGGCGUAGGGGGCGGCGUAGGCGUAGUAGGCCUCGGCGCCCUUCAGGGUCUCCUUGGCCUUCUCCUGGGCGAACACGGCCGCCACCAGCAGGACUACGAGGAAAGAGCAAAC